GGGAUAGUUUUGGAUUCGACAGGCUACUUGAAGUAAUAAUAGCAUGCUAUGGUUGCGCAUAUAAAAACGCCCGAGGUUUUUAAAUAACCGGAAACAAAAAUUUAGCUUUUGCAGCAUAAGAUAAUUUAAUAGCUGCGCUCUUGAUAAAAUACCCCUUAAGUUUUAUCAAAGGGCUCAAGUAUUAAGGGUUGAAUUAAAUGAGUGUCUCGGCAUUUAAUUCGAGAUUCUGGAGACUAGUUUAUUAACAAUUUGUUAGUUGUUUGUUAAUAAAUAAAACUAUUUUCAACUAACUAAGCAUGUAGAAGUUAUUACGGAUCGUAGUUUGGACAGGGGUUCGACUCCCCUCUAUUCCACCA
rnacentral:tmRNA from 1 species